GGUCACAUAUAUUAACUGUAAUGACUAAACUGGUUUAGGUCAGCCCAUCUCAUAUCUGACCCACCUAAUUAGCAUGGAUGAAUACGAAUCACUAAUCAACUAGAAUCAAUCCAUAAUUUAUCAAAUGAUCAGAUAAGUGAGAUCAAUGGGAGAGAUAAGCCAUUAACUCAUCAUAGACACCAUCUGUGCGAGUAGCUCCCAAUUAAAAAUUAUUGAUC
rnacentral:lncRNA from 1 species